GUUUAAACACCUGUUCCCGUACGAUCACCGAAGUUAAGCAACCUCGAGCUUGGUCAGUAACUGGGUGGGUAACCAGUUUGGGAAUACCAGGUGCUGUGA